AGGACGAACGCUGGCGGCGUGCUUAACACAUGCAAGUCGAACGGAAAGGCCCUUCGGGGUACUCGAGCGGCGAACGGGUGAGUAACACGUGAGCAACCUGCCCUUAGCUCCGGGAUAGCUCCGGGAAACCGGAAUUAAUACCGGAUACAACACCGGCCGACAUCGGCCGGUGUGGAAAGAAUUUCGGCUAGGGAUGGACUCGCGGCCUAUCAGCUUGUUGGUGGGGUAACGGCCUACCAAGGCGACGACGGGUAGCCGGCCUGAGAGGGCGACCGGCCACGACUGGGACUGAGACACGGCCCAGACUCCUACGGGAGGCAGCAGUGGGGAAUCUUGCGCAAUGGGCGAAAGCCUGACGCAGCGACGCCGCGUGGGGGAUGAAGGCCUUCGGGUUGUAACCCUUUCAGCAGGACGAAGCGAAAGUGACGGUACCUGCAGAAGAAGCGCCGGCUAACUACGUGCCAGCAGCCGC
rnacentral:rRNA from 1 species